UUGGGUUGGGGGAGAUGAUGCAGGAAAAUCUCUGAUCUUCAAAGCAACUUUCAGGACAGUGGGACUUCAUAGUGAGAUCCUUCAGAGGGGUCAGGGGAGAGGUAGUGAGCCUAGCACAUGAGUGCAGGCAAGUGGGAGGGAGGCUGUUGGUGCUCCUCAGAGUGCUCCUCCCAGGAUUGUUCCCUCACACUGUGGACUUUAAUCUACCAAGUCUGGGCCAUCUGCACCACCACCCCACCUCCACAAUUUCAGGCUUGUAUAGGGUAGAGAAACUUCCAUCUCCUGCAUCCCAAGUACCUAGAAUAGUGCCAGCCGGAAGUGCAGAAUGGGAGUGUGCAGACGUGGUAAAGACAUUUUAGAUGUCUCAAAAGGGCAGGAGAGUCUUAGUGGCUCAGUGCUCCACCCCCAUGGCUGCUCCUCUCGACAAGCAGCAGCUGUGGGGUCAGUUAACUCAUCUGAUCUAUUGACGUGCAGCCAUUGGAGCCCUUCCUGGGGGACAGAAUAGGUGGAGACUCAGAGCUGGGGCUGGGAGUACAGCCAGGGUACUGGAUGGCAUUGUCUCUUUGACCUCCACCAAGGUCAUUUGGUGAUUUUGCUGUUACCAUUUCCUUUUUAUUGUGAGACAGUUUUGCUAUGUUGAACAGGCCUGCUUCACACUUGAAAGAGAUCUUCCUGCCUCUGCCUCCUGUAGGAUUGAAGGUGUACACCACAAUACCCAGCUUAUGUUUAAAAUAUUUUAAUGUGUCACCCCCAUAACAUGGGCCACUGGUGCACACGUGGGCAUACCUUGCCACGCGGGUCAUUAUUGUAGCUCAUGGUUCAGAGCUAGGUAAGAAUGUUACUUAGUUUUCUACCUCAUUUGACAUUCUGGGUUUUUGUUGUUAUUGUUGUUUUAUUCUUUGAGAUAGGGUUUCUCUAUGUAGCCUUGGGUGGCUGACUGGCCUGAAACUCAGAGAUCUCCUGCCUCUGCUUCCCAAGUACUGGGAUAAAGGUGCACCACCAUGCCCAACCCUGGGGGUUGUAUACUUUUGUUUGUAUUUUGAGACAGAUUUGUAGCCAGUGCUGUGCUGGAACUCACCAUGUAGCAUUGUCUAGUCCCAAACUUAAUUCAGUCUUCCUAAAUACUGGAAUUAAGGUGUGAGCAACCACAUCUAGGCCACCUACUUUUUAUCAUCCAUCUCAGGUGUCUUGUACCAUUUGGAUUUCUUUCUUUAGGUGAGGAAGUGGUGUUUGGGACAGAGUUUCUCUGUGUAGCUCUGGCUGUCCUGGAUCCCACACUGUAGACCAACCAGGCUGGCCUGGAACUCAGAAAUUCGCCUGCCUCUGCCUCCUAAGUACUGAGAUUAAAGGCGUGCACCACCACCUCCCAGCUACCAUUUGGAUCUUAAUCUUUAAAAAGUGGUAAGCCUGGACCUUGGGCAGCAUGAAGGAGCCAGUACUUCUUCACAUCCCAGGCUAUGAUCCUCUUCCAUGGGAAAGCCUGAUCUGUCCCAAGGGCUAAACUUGAGCUGUGGACUAGACCCCAACAAUCUAUGGCCAAGGAAACAUGCCACACUGGGGUGUUGUUUUCCCCCGGGCACUGACUGUGGUUGGCUGUGGGCCGUCUUAAUGUCAGCUGUGGUUAAGCUGACAUUGCAAACCCAGAGCUCCUUACUUAUUUUCCUAGAACCCUGGGUACUCAUUUUGUGACUCCUGGUUGUUGAUAAGUUGGGGGCUUUGGGGGGGGGUCUCAAUGAGGAACAAAUAAUGCUGGAAAGAUUGCUCAGCUGUUAAGAGCAUUUGCUGCUGCUUCAGGGGACCCGAGUUCCUAGCACUCACAUCAGGCAGCCUCAACUAUAUCUCCAUCCAAGCAGUCCAGGGCCGCCUUCUGGCCUCUGCGAGCACUUGCACAGAUGGUACACAGACACACAUAAAAUAUAUUUUAAAAAGAAACAAGGGGGCUGGAGAGAUGGCUCAGUAGUUAAGCACACUGACUGCUCUUCCAGAGUACCCAGGUUCAAUUCCCAGCACCCACAUGGCAGCUCAUGACUGUCUGUGACUCCAGUUCCAGGGACCCAACACCCAUGACAAAACAACAGUGCACAUAUAUACAUACAUACAAACAUACAUACAUACAUGAUAGAUGUAAGUAAAUGAGAAGCAAGUACUACUGUGGCUCUUGCCCUGACUGGCCUUGUACAUAAUCCUGCUCUAGCCACAUCUGGCUGUCUGAGGGAUGAGCCAUCAACCCAUCCUGAGAUCUUCUCCAGCUCCUGUCACCUUUAGCGCCAGACCCUCAGCAUUGUCCAGGGACUCAGGAAGCCGGACAGCUCCUGCUCUUCCCAGUAGACAUCUACUUCCUGAACUACCUGAGACUCUUCUGUCUCAAGAGCUUUAAGUAAACAAGACUCAAGUAGUGAAGGGGUUGCAUUACAAAUGGAAUGUCGCUAAUGAACUGAAGCACGGGGACUCUGCUGAAGAAGCGAAGUCAUGUCAUCCUUGACUAGAGGCCAGAGAAAGGCAGCGCCUGGUCCCUCCUUUCUGCGUCCAGGACAAAGGAAGAGGUGAGGCCUCUGGCUCAGGCAGGUGGGCCCUGUCAGGCCAGACUUCACAACUCCAGGUCUGGAUGGGAUGAACAGCUAUUAUGUCUGAACAUCUGGUCCAUCCGAGGCCCCUCCGUAUGCACAGGGCUGGUGACUGGUCAGAGGCGUUUUUGAGAACUAGACUUUGCAUUCAAUGGAAUGGACUUUGUUUUGGAAGAACCUUGGCAUGGUGAACACACUGCUUGUCAGCACCAGCAUGAAGAAGUGACCAAGGACACAGGCUAAAGAGAACAGUGAGCCAGGACCAGAGUUCACGGGAGCUGGUCCACGUUUGCUGGUAUAGGCAUGGUAGAAUAUGCAAAAUGGAGCCCAGCGUGAAUUAGACACAAAGCCACCAAACAGCCUGACACCGUCAGACCAACCUGGUGAGUCAUCUAAGUGUGGCUAGGCCUCGGGGCCACCCAGAGCCAGGUUGGCCUUCAUUCCACCCGCAUUCCAACCCCAAUGACCCACAGGCUGGCCUGCUCUGCAGUGGAGCUGCUGUAGGAGCGUUGGACCACAGUCCCAGGUGAUCUCUUUCCUAGGAGUGAUUUAGGCACCACACAAAUUUCCAAAAGGACCUAGUGACUAGGUGGUACUAACCCAGCAGCCCUGCCUGCCAUGUUCAGGGUGGCCUUGUACUCACAUCCCAAGGUGGCUGCUUAAAUGUCAAUCUUACCACCUAGCCAAGCUAAGAACCAAAGCUUUGUGGCUAUCAGGGAACUGACCAUAAGCCAUCAGCACUUAGAGCCCUGGCUGGCCUGGAACUGGCUCUAUAGACCAGGCUGGCCUCAAACUCAGAUCCACCUGCCACCUCUGCCUCCCUAGUGCUGUGGCUAAGCGUGUGUACCACCACACCCAGCUACUGUUGAGCUUUUAAGAGGGGACAGUAUCUGACAAGGUGUGGAAGUCAUGACAUCUGAACCCCAGCCAAAGCCCUUGCUCUGUGUCCUCAGCAAAGCAGAGGACGGUGGGAAAGUGAGGCUAGAAGUUGCCUGACUCAGACGUGGGUCCCAGCCUACUGGUAAAAAGCCUUGCUUCUUAGGCUGUCACCCACUCAUAGGGUGGGCUUCCCUUUUUGCUAGUGGAAGAAAGAUUUAACCUGAACCCUUAUGAGUACUGUGUGUAGCUGCCUCAGGCAGCUGAGAGGCUUGUUAAGUAGCAGGCUGGGUCAGAAUAAGUGCAGUGUAAGGAGUCCUGCGGGCAAUUGCAGCCUUCUAAGUUACUAUUGGGAGUAGCAGGACCCACCCCUGAGCAGUCCUGAAAGCCCUAAAAGUUGAGAAGCAGGGGAAGUAAGCCCAUGACUAGACUUCACUGAGCCCCACUUGACCUAGAGCCUCAGUUUCCCCAUCAGGGGAGGAUGGCAGUGGAUUCCUUCCUGCCGCUGUUUUAAAGCACUCCCACCAACUGUGACACAUUAAAUUCUUAAAAAUAGGAGAAGUAAAAAAGAAAUAUUCCCAAUUAACUGGGGCAGGGCUGGGGCUGUAGUUCAGUCAGCAGAGCACGAACUAGUCCAAAGCCCUUUGUUGACUCCUAAACACUGCACUUCAAAAGCAGGGUGUGCUUGCCCACAUCCAUAAUCCCAGCCACUGGUCAGUGGAGGCAGGAGGAUCAAAAGUUCACUUGUCCUCAGCCACAUAGAGAGGGCUGGGGAUGUAGCCCAGUGGUAGAGCACUUAUCUAGCAUGUGCAAAGCCCUGAGUUUGACCCUCAGCAGGGCAAAAAUAUUGCCUUAUAUAAGCAAUACAUGUUCACUGGAGGAAAUUUGGAAAAGAAGUAUAAAGAAGGAAGUCACCUGUUACCCCACCACCCACAGCCGACGACUGUUCUGGGGGUUUUUCCAUACAUAAUCUGUGUGGGAUCUCA